GUGCUCGCUUCGGCAACACAUAUGCUAAAAACUGGAACAAUACAGAGAUUAGCAAGGCCCCUGUGCAAGGAUGACACAUAAAAGCUCUACCCAUGCCUCCAUUCU